rnacentral:rRNA from 1 species
AAGAGAGCUUGAUUGCAAGACAUACAGGUCGAGCAAGGAUGAAAAUCGGACUUAGUGAUCCGGUGGUUCUGCGUGGAAGGGCCAUCGCUCAACGGAUAAAAGCUACCCUGGGGAUAACAGGCUUAUCCCCCCCAAGAGUCCACAUCGACGGGGAGGUUUGGCACCUCGAUGUCGGCUCAUCACAUCCUGGGGCUGUAGUAGGUCCCAAGGGUUGGGCUGUUCGCCCAUUAAAGUGGUACGCGAGCUGGGUUCAGAACGUCGUGAGACAGUUCGGUCCCUAUCCGUCGCAGGCGUAGGAAAUUUGAGAAGACCUGUCCUUAGUACGAGAGGACCGGGAUGGACGUACCUCUGGUGUACCAGUUGUUCUGCCAAGGGCAUGGCUGGGUAGCUAUGUACGGAAUGGAUAAGCGCUGAAAGCAUCUAAGCGCGAAGCCAACUUCAAGAUAAGAUUUCCCACCGCAAGGGUAAGACCCCAGAAAGACUAUCUGGUUGAUAGGUCGAAGGUGUAAGUGCAGCAAUGUAUUUAGCUUAUCGAUACUAAUAGGUCGAGGACUUGACCAAAUU